GAUCCUGGCUCAGGAUGAACGCUAGCGACAGGCUUAACACAUGCAAGUCGAGGGGCAGCAUGAUUUGUAGCAAUACAGAUUGAUGGCGACCGGCGCACGGGUGAGUAACGCGUAUGCAACUUACCUAUCAGAGGGGGAUAGCCCGGCGAAAUCCGGACUAAUACCCCAUGAUAUGGGCUCUCCGCAUGGGGGGGUCCAUUAAAGAGAGCAAUCUUGGUUACAGACGAGCAUGCGCUCCAUUAGCCAGUUGGCGGGGUAACGGCCCACCAAGGCGACGAUGGAUAGGGGUUCUGAGAGGAAGGUCCCCCACAUUGGGACUGAGACACGGCCCAGACUCCUACGGGAGGCAGCAGUGGGGAAUAUUGCACAAUGGGGGAAACCCUGAUGCAGCGACGCCGCGUGGAGGAAGAAGGUCUUCGGAUUGUAAACUCCUGUUGUUGAGGAAGAUAAUGACGGUACUCAACAAGGAAGUGACGGCUAACUACGUG
rnacentral:rRNA from 1 species